rnacentral:rRNA from 1 species
GGAAUAUUGCACAAUGGAGGAAACUCUGAUGCAGUGACGCCGCGUGCAGGAAGAAGGUUUUCGGAUUGUAAACUGCUUUAGACAGGGAAGAAACAAGACAGUACCUGUAGAAUAAGCUCCGGCUAACUACGUGCCAGCAGCCGCGGUAAUACGUAGGGAGCAAGCGUUAUCCGGAUUUAUUGGGUUUAAAGGGUGCGUAGGCGGUCCGGAAAGUCAGCGGUAAAAGCCCGGGGCUCAACCCCGGCGAGCCGUUGAAACUGUCGGACUAGAGACGGCGAGAAGUACGCGGAAUGCGCGGUGUAGCGGUGAAAUGCAUAGAUAUCGCGCAGAACUCCGAUUGCGAAGGCAGCGUACCGGCGCCGGCCUGACGCUGAGGCACGAAAGCGUGGGUAUCGAACAG